rnacentral:rRNA from 1 species
AUUGAACGCUGGCGGCAUGCCUUACACAUGCAAGUCGAACGGUAACGCUGGGCAACCUGGCCACGAGUGGCGAACGGGUGAGUAAUACAUCGGAACGUGCCCAGUAGUGAGGGAUAGCCCGGCGAAAGCCGGAUUAAUACCGCAUACGACCUACGGGUGAAAGCGGGGGAUCGCAAGACCUCGCGCUAUUGGAGCGGCCGCUGUCAGAUUAGGUAGUUGGUGGGGUAAAGGCCUACCAAGCCUACGAUCUGUAGCUGGGCUGAGAGGGCGACCAGCCGACGUGGGACUGGGGCACGGCCCAGCAUCCCACGGGAGGCAGCAGUGGGGAAUUUUGGACAAUGGGCGCAAGGCUGAGCCAGCCAUGCCGCGUGCGGGAAGAGGGCCUUCGGGUUGUAAACCGCUUUUGUCAGGGAAGAAACGCUCUGAGUUAAUACCUCGGGGUAAUGACGGUACCUGAAGAAGAAGCACCGGCUAACUACGUGCCAGCCGCCGCGGUAACAC